UACGAAGGGGGCUAGCGUUGCUCGGAAUGACUGGGCGUAAAGGGCGCGUAGGCGGCCUAUUUUGUCAGGCGUGAAAGUCCUGGGCUCAACCUGGGGAUGGCGCUUGGGACGGAUGGGCUUGAGUAGGGAAGAGGGUCGUGGAAUUCCCAGUGUAGAGGUGAAAUUCGUAGAUAUUGGGAAGAACACCGGUGGCGAAGGCGGCGACCUGGUCCUUGACUGACGCUGAGGCGCGAGAGCGUGGGGAGCAAACAG
rnacentral:rRNA from 1 species